AUGCCGCGGAGCCCCUGCCCAGUCCCACCAUCCUCCCCCUUCCUUCUUCCACAUCGACGCCAUCGGCGCACCAGGUGCCGUCGCCGACGGUUCGGCCUCUCGGAGAGCGGCCGCCUGACGCGGGGCGACCGCGUCCGCGUCGAUGGCCGACGGAGGAGCGACAUCGAGCGCCGUCGCUGGAGGCCGCUUCGAGGGGCGGCCGGCGAGCGCCGCGGGCGGGGCGUGGGCCCUGCUCUCGACGGCGCACUCGGCGCUGGGUCAUCGGCCAGUUCAGCUACCCGGAUCAGGAGGACGCGCUGCUGUGCCAGCGCCUCGUCCGCCGCACCGGCCGGCGCCGCGGGCCGGCUCGUUCCCCGCCAACGCCGUCGAACGGCGCGCCUCGUGCCGCGGCCUUCUUCCGCGCGGCCGCAGGUUCGGCCUCGCGGCGAUUGGCGGGCGGCGUCGACUGCAUUCGGCCGCAUCGACGCGGGGCGACGGGGAGCGCGUCGGUGGCCGGCGGUGGCGCGGUGUGCAGAGCGACGGCGAGCGCCGCCGCUCGAGGUUGCUUCGAGGGCGCAGCGGCAUGGACCGGCCGCGAGCGCGGCGUACGGGGCGUGGCCCCUCCUCUCCGUACCCAGGGCCUUGUGCCUGGCACGGAGGCUGCCGAAGACGGUGUCGGCGGAGAUGGGCGCGCUGCCGCGCCAGCGCUUCGGCCGCGUCGGCUCGUUCGACGUCGAAGCUCCCGAUGUCCCGGACAUUGGAGGAUGUGAUAUCCAAAAACAAGAAAUUCAGGAGGCAGUUGAGCUACCAUUGACACACCAUGAGUUGUACUGCUCUAUGGUCCUUCAGGCACUGGCAAGACCAUGCUUGCUAAAGCGGUGGCACAUCACACUACUGCUGCUGGUUCAGAGUUUGUGCAGACGUACUUGA
rnacentral:rRNA from 1 species